rnacentral:rRNA from 1 species
AACGAACGCUGGCGGCGCGCCUAAUACAUGCAAGUCGAACGAGAAGCUGUAGCAAUACAGUUGUACAGUGGCGAACGGGUGAGGAAUACAUGGGUGACCUACCCUCGAGUGGGGAAUAACCAGCCGAAAGGUUGGCUAAUACCGCGUACGCUUCCCAGUCUACGGGUUGGGAAGGAAAGCGAUGCCGUGGGUAUCGCGCUCAAGGUUGGGCUCAUGUCCUAUCAGCUUGNGGUGGGGUAACGGCUCACCAAGGCAACGACGGGUAGCUGGUCUGAGAGGACGAUCAGCCACACUGGCACUGCGACACGGGCCAGACUCCUACGGGAGGCAGCAGUAAGGAAUAUUGCGCAAUGGGCGAAAGCCUGACGCAGCGACGCCG